CUGCCUUGGGCUGCAGACUUGGGGAAGGCCUAUGGCACUUGAAUUGAGUGAAAAGAGGUCUAGACAUGAGAGAGAGUGAGUAAUGAGCUAUGGUUGUAGUCUGAUUUGAGACCUGUACGGCUUGGCAGGUCAUAGUAUUUUUCAGUAGGAAAUAUGUGCAACUCAACCUCAACGAAUGUUCAUCUUUUUCUCAUAACAUUCUUUAACUGUUCUCUUUGGUUGUGCUCCCAGUUCAUUCCAGAAGGCGGCUUUCUUCAGACUGUGUUUAAACAGGAUGCCUCUGCCAAGUGUCAGCCAUGAAGCCUCCACAUCUUUAAGAACCUGAGAGAAAACAUCUUUAAGCUAGAAAGACAUUAGCCUUGGAACUGAGGUGACAAAAAGAACAGGUACAUCAACAGGAUGGUAACUAUAAAAUCUGUAUCUACAUGUCUACGUGAGGUCCUGUGAUCUUCAUGAGGGCUCUGCCCCAGGAGCAAAAUAGCAAGUUCUUUUUCCCAGCAGUUACAGCACCUACGGGACUGCAGUUCUCAUCUGCUUCUCGGUGUUCUGGUAUUUCUGAAGAGAGGUGUGUGACUGUCAGCAGUACGUAUCUGGAUCAUGACUCACCUUGUUACACUACAGCUGGGCUUUGAAAUUGUGGAACAGAAGUGAGAAAACAAGAAAGAUGUCAAACCAACAAGCAAAAACAACGUUAGACAUGCAUCGUGCACAGAACUCUUAUUUGGAAAACUCGUAAUCUCAAAAGCUAUCAACCUUCCCUUAGCGGGAAGAAAACAGCUUUUCUAUCCAUCUCCAUUCAGACAUGGUGAGGGGAAAAAAGCUUGCCUUCCCACAGAAUGGGCCCAGGAGUGGAUCUCUGGCCAAUUAAUUGUUUCAUAAUCUCUCAGGAAAUUCUCUAGGUAUCAAAGUAUGCAUGGGAUUGUCCCAUCCAAAAUAUAGUGCCCUAACUGAACAGCUUCAUAUUCUUCCUUGCACGUACCGUGGAGCUGUAAGUUUGUGUGAGGAGGAAAAAAAAAAAGCACCAUUGUGGUUGACUCUGGGUUUCUCCUGCAGACCGUUUCUAUGACUGUCAAGGAAGUCGGCUGUGCAGAGCCAGCGUUCUCCAGCAACACUUCCACCCCAGCCAACUGCACCUCGCCGUUGGAAUCCCCAAGUGCGCAGUGCUCUGGGAACGUGAGAAGCAGAGCGAAGUUCUGCUUAACAUUGAAGAUCUAUCUCUCCCUCUGACAGAUUUCUUGACAGUAUACUACAUGUUCUAAUCCUUUCAUCUGCUCCACACCUUGAAGUGCAGGUUAUGAUUUGGCUCUGGACACUUGCAUUGACAAGCUGUGUUUGGGCUCUGACUUGCUGUGCAGUCAGUAUGUGUAAUAUAGAGAAAGAUGUAGUUCUCAAAAGCUGAAAUUGCAUCCAUAAUUUUAGUAGGAAAUGUUAAACUUUCAAAGGAUGUUUGUUGAAGAAAAAUAAAUGUAACUUUACAUUUUUUUUAUUAGGUGAACGUUGAGCUGUGGAAAAAUACUACAUAUGGUACAGGUGAUCGUGUGCCUUGGUGCUGUAGAGAAUUUGGAGAGUUGAUCCAGUGUUGUCUCUGGCUCUGAGCUGCAAAAUGUUCCAAAAGAUGCAGUGAUUGCUCAAGAAAUAGUGGAAGCAAAAUUCACAAUAAUAUUGAAAACAAUAACCAAGUCACUUGGAGCUAUUUUAAUAGCUCAUAAAAAAUCUAUUUUGCUGCAGCCUACUUACUUGGUAAUUGUGUAAGGAACAAAACUAUUGUUUAUUAUUUGAGAUCCUGGACAGUUGAACUGUUACUUGUGCUACUGUGGAAAGAGAUUGCUAACAGGGGAAGAUUCUCAUAAUAGUUGUGGUGUCAUUUUAGAAUGUGGUUGUCUCCUGUGGGAUCAAGGGAAUUGCCACAUCUUAUUGCAGAACACUUUAUCAAAAAUAACCUUUAAAAAUGUUUAAGAAAAACUAUCUCCUUGUGUUGAUAAGAAGAAAAGAACUAUUUUAUUCCAGGUAGAAGUAUUCAAAAUGCAUUAUAAAAUAGCUACUUUUAUGUUACCAUAAUUCUUUCACACGCUACCUACUUUUUAAACUACACAACUGACUUGCACACCAGUGAAGAUGUUUUGCUCUGUUCUUGUUUAGCACAGUGCAGUGAUGUGCACUGAAUGUAGAUGUGGAACCCUUGCCAUCCAUGGACACAACUUGAAUUUAACUAGUAAGACCAGAACAGGUAGAAUUCCUUGUAGCUCUUUGCAUCUGUCUACUGAACAGAUGCGCAGAGAAGCAGGCAGGUUCAAACAAACUGGUCUUCAUUAGAGACAGGAGGAAUAUGAGCUGUUAGAAAACCAUGGGACCAUCUUUCCUUAAAAAGGAGGAUUGCUGAGAAGUGAAAUGUAAGCUGCUUCUUGCUCGCAGUGUAAGGCUCUGACCCAGCUGGUUCAAAUCCACAUGGUAUUCCUUAAUUGAUUUAAUUGCUUUUGGAUCAUGUGUUAGAAGAUUGUACACAAAUGUGGAGAGUAAAUAUGGUUUAAAUACUAGUCCUUAUAUUAAUAUAACUUUACAUAUGACUUGCAAUAAUUACUUCUAAAUUCCUAUAGAAUCUUGAAGUAAAAGUUUCUAAGAUAUUAUCUAUAUAGUAAGAACUGAAGGCUUUUUGGCUUUUGUAUUAACAAAAUAUCAUGUAAACUAUCUUACUUUUAUCUUUCAUUUGUGAAAAGCAUGCCCAAACCACAUAUGUGUGCAUGCAACGUACGCAACAAAUGGAAGAAAACCAGCUACCAAAUCUGGAAUGCAAAGAGCAAUUGCCCUGGCUGAAGUGCAGACUUUUCACAGAUGUUUGAUUGUAUACAUGGGACAGACUUCAUUUGAGAUGAAUAGAGAGUACAUAAAAUGCACACUUUCCCUCCCCCAUCCCUCUUGUUUAUCUGAUUUUGCAGAAGGAUUUUAAUUAAGCCCACAGAACUGCAAUAAACUGCAGGAACUGUAAACUUAAUAUCCAGAAACACUACAAAUAGAAAAAUUGCUACAGAGCUCUAAGGUUAUGUUAUUAUUCUUCUGUGUCUAUAAACACAUCUGUUCAAAGCUACAUGCAAACUUCUUUACUUUUCUUCUCUGCACAGCUGAAAUGCAUAAGGAGAUAUUUUUCCUGGAAAAAAAAAAAAAAAGAAGCAAUGCCUACUUUAAGGAAUUUGAGACUUAGAUAUUUAGAUAGUGAAGAGUACUGCCCUCGCUCUCCAAACAUCUCUAAAAAUAGUACUUGUUUAACUACUUACGUUUACUUCUUUACAAGUUGAGAGAGACUAUCUGAUCUGAUAUUCUGUGUAUAUACUCGUUUAUACAUACUUGUGUACUUGUCCUUCUGCUAAGCAGAUGUUGGUGUUGCAAAGAUUAGGUUUCUAUGGGAAGGCACAUCAGUGAAGCAGAGUUUGGGGGUUUCAUUCUAUAGUAUGUAAUACCUACUAGGCUAGCAGCAUGCCUGCAAUGAGGUGACACAGCCCUCCUGAUCUGCUUCUCCAGUUUGCUUGCCUGUUCACAUCCAUGGUUUAAUGUGCUUUGUGCUCACAGACCACCUACUUGAUGUGAACUGAAUUCUGUUUACCUUAUGUACAAAGAAAGGCAGGAGAUGAGUUCUAGCUGACUAAUUUAUCCCCAUGUUAUUCUUGAAACAAGAUGGUUUCCUUCUCCUCCCCAUCCUCUUAGUUUCUCUCCUUAUUUUACUGUAGCAGAUAAAUUGGGUUCAAGUUUUAGAAACAACAGCUAUUAUGAGGUCAGAUUGUCCGUUUCUUAGAGGGCAGGGAGAGAAGAGGUAUUUGUCCAGCUGCUACACAAGUGCAUGUUGGAGGAUUCACUGGCAGGGCUCAGCCCUGAGCCACAUGGAGUCCAACUCUGGACUGGACUCUGCCUUUAGGGUAAGUUUUGUGUCCUCAUCUCAUCCAUGUCCUGUAUGUGGGCAGAGGGCAGGUUGGAGUUACACAAGGCUCUACACAACAAGAUGAAAAAGUAGUAGGUGUGGAGGGACUGUGCCACCCGACAUUGCCAGGGCACCUCAGCUGUUCCGUGUCAUCCCAGGGAAAAGAUUCUUCCUGCUAUGUAAUAUGGUGUUUGUGUGAGGUAUUCAUAAGAAGACAGUACAGUCUUCUUUCUGACAGCCUACUUUGCAGCUCUGUGUAAAGCUGAAUAAAGAGAAAAGGCAGGAUUUUAACAACUCAAUACAGCCUAACCUUUCUUAAGAGCCCCAGCUGAAAUAAAAAGGAAAUCUGUUUUGUA